AUUGAACGCUGGCGGCAGGCCUAACACAUGCAAGUCGAACGAGUGGCGGACGGGUGAGUAAUGUCUGGGAAACUGCCUGAUGGAGGGGGAUAACUACUGGAAACGGUAGCUAAUACCGCAUACCAUCGGAUGUGCCCAGAUGGGAUUAGCUAGUAGGUGGGGUAAAGGAUCACCUAGGCGACGAUCCCUAGCUGGUCUGAGAGGAUGACCAGCCACUCGUGAACGGAGCGACGGUCCAGAGUACGACGUGUGGCAGCAGUGGGGAAUAUUGGGCAAUGGGUGCAAGCCUGAUGCAGCCAUGCCGCGUGUAUGAAGAAGGCCUUCGGGUUGUAAUGUACUUUCAGCGGGGAGUCGCUACCCGCAGAAGAAGCACCGGCUAAUUCCGUGCCAUCAGCCGCGUUAAUAC
rnacentral:rRNA from 1 species